rnacentral:rRNA from 1 species
CUAAGAAUAUUCCGCAAUGGACGAAAGUCUGACGGAGCGACGCCGCGUGGAUGAAGAAGGCCGAAAGGUUGUAAAGUUCUUUUGCUAGGGGAGAAUAAGUGAGGGAGGGAAUGCCCUCAUGAUGACAAGGACUAGCGAAUAAGCCCCGGCCAACUACGUGCCAGCAGCCGCGGUAACACGUAAGGGGCGAGCGUUGUUCGGAAUUAUUGGGCGUAAAGGGUACGUAGGCUGUUUUGAAAGCUUGGUGUGAAAUGCUGCGGCUUAACCGCAGAGCUGCAUUGAGAACUGCAAGGCUAGAGUUACUGAAGGGAAACUAGAAUUCCAGGUGUAGGGGUGAAAUCUGUAGAUAUCUGGAAGAAUACCAAUGGCGAAGGCAAGUUUCUGGCAGAUAACUGACGC